UAACGCGUGAGGAACCUGCCUCAAAGAGGGGGACAACAGUUGGAAACGACUGCUAAUACCGCAUAAGCCCACGGCUCGGCAUCGAGCAGAGGGAAAAGGAGCAAUCCGCUUUGAGAUGGCCUCGCGUCCGAUUAGCUAGUUGGUGAGGUAACGGCCCACCAAGGCGACGAUCGGUAGCCGGACUGAGAGGUUGAACGGCCACAUUGGGACUGAGACACGGCCCAGACUCCUACGGGAGGCAGCAGUGGGGAAUAUUGCACAAUGGGGGAAACCCUGAUGCAGCGACGCCGCGUGGAGGAAGAAGGUCUUCGGAUUGUAAACUCCUGUUGUUGAGGAAGAUAAUGACGGUACUCAACAAGGAAGUGACGGCUAACUACGUGCCAGCAGCCGCGGUAAAACGUAGGUCACAAGCGUUGUCCGGAAUUACUGGGUGUAAAGGGAGCGCAGGCGGGAGAACAAGUUGGAAGUGAAAUCCAUGGGCUCAACCCAUGAACUGCUUUCAAAACUGUUUUUCUUGAGUAGUGCAGAGGUAGGCGGAAUUCCCGGUGUAGCGGUGGAAUGCGUAGAUAUCGGGAGGAACACCAGUGGCGAAGGCGGCCUACUGCGCACCAACUGACGCUGAGGCUCGAAAGUGUGGGUAGCAAACAGGAUUAGAUACCCUGGUAGUCCACACCGUAAACGAUGAUUACUAGGUGU
rnacentral:rRNA from 1 species